rnacentral:rRNA from 1 species
AACGAACGCUGGCGGCAGGCCUAACACAUGCAAGUCGAACGCUGUAGCAAUACAGAGUGGCAGACGGGUGAGUAACGCGUGGGAACCUUCCCAAUGGUGCGGAAUAGCCCAGGGAAACUUGGAGUAAUUCCGCAUAAGCCCUUAGGGGGAAAGAUUUAUCGCCAUUGGAUGGGCCCGGGUCGGAUUAGCUAGUUGGUAGGGUAAUGGCCUACCAAGGCAACGAUCCGUAGCUGGUUUGAGAGAAUGACCAGCCACACUGGGACUGAGACACGGCCCAGACUCCUACGGGAGGCAGCAGUGGGGAAUCUUGGACAAUGGGCGAAAGCCUGAUCCAGCCAUGCCGCGUGAGUGAAGAAGGCCUUAGGGUUGUAAAGCUCUUUUGCCGGGGACGAUAAUGACGGUACCCGGAGAAUAAGUCCCGGCUAACUUCGUGCCAGCCGCCGCCGUAAUAC